GUAAGGAAUAUUGGUCAAUGGACGAAAGUCUGAACCAGCCAUGCCGCGUGGAGGAUGAAGGUCCUCUGGAUUGUAAACUUCUUUUAUAUGGGACGAAAAUGGGGCUUUCUAGCUCAACUGACGGUACCAUAUGAAUAAGCACCGGCUAACUCCGUGCCAGCAGCCGCGGUAAUACGGAGGGUGCAAGCGUUAUCCGGAUUCACUGGGUUUAAAGGGUGCGUAGGUGGAUUGGUAAGUCAGAGGUGAAAUCUCCGGGCUCAACUCGGAAACUGCCUUUGAUACUAUCAAUCUUGAAUAUUGUGGAGGUUAGCGGAAUAUGUCAUGUAGCGGUGAAAUGCUUAGAUAUGACAUAGAACACCAAUUGCGAAGGCAGCUGGCUACACAUAUAUUGACACUGAGGCACGAAAGCGUGGGGAUCAAACAGGAUUAGAAACCCCUGUAGUCC
rnacentral:rRNA from 1 species